rnacentral:ncRNA from 1 species
UCAUCGACAUGGUGCCGCCACGGCGUAAUCCGUGGAUGGAAUCGGGAUGAAUUCAGGGAAACCUCAGCGGCGCGCAACGCGGCCGGUGGCAACCCUGAGCCAAGCCGCCGGUACACCGGCGGAAGGUGCAGAGACUACCUGAGGGCUUCAGUGCCCUUGAUUACAGGCUCGAGCGUCCCGCACCCCACCUGCCCCGCCUCGCGCAUGGGCAGAGGGUGAAGAGAUAGUCCGCUCCGGAGGGAAACCUUCGG